UACGUAGGGUGCAAGCGUUAAUCGGAAUUACUGGGCGUAAAGCGUGCGCAGGCGGUUUUGUAAGUCAGGGGUGAAAUCCCGAGGCUCAACCUCGGAACUGCCUUUGAUACUGGAGAUCUUGAGUCCGGAAGAGGUAAGUGGAACUGCGAGUGUAGAGGUGAAAUUCGUAGAUAUUCGCAAGAACACCAGUGGCGAAGGCGGCUUACUGGUCCGGAACUGACGCUGAGGUGCGAAAGCGUGGGGAGCAAACAGG
rnacentral:rRNA from 1 species